rnacentral:rRNA from 1 species
ACGAAAGAAAAAGAGUGGCGAACGGGUGAGUAACACGUGGGUAACCUGCCCAUCAGAAGGGGAUAACACUUGGAAACAGGUGCUAAUACCGUAUAACACUAUUUUCCGCAUGGAAGAAAGUUGAAAGGCGCUUUUGCGUCACUGAUGGAUGGACCCGCGGUGCAUUAGCUAGUUGGUGAGGUAACGGCUCACCAAGGCAACGAUGCAUAGCCGACCUGAGAGGGUGAUCGGCCACACUGGGACUGAGACACGGCCCAGACUCCUACGGGAGGCAGCAGUAGGGAAUCUUCGGCAAUGGACGAAAGUCUGACCGAGCAACGCCGCGUGAGUGAAGAAGGUUUUCGGAUCGUAAAACUCUGUUGUUAGAGAAGAACAAGGAUGAGAGUARAAYGUUCAUCCCUUGACGGUAUCUAACCAGAAAGCCACGGCUAACUACGUGCCAGCAGCCGCGGUAAUACGUAGGUGGCAAGCGUUGUCCGGAUUUAUUGGGCGUAAAGCGAGCGCAGGCGGUUUCUUAAGUCUGAUGUGAAAGCCCCCGGCUCAACCGGGGAGGGUCAUUGGAAACUGGGAGACUUGAGUGCAGAAGAGGAGAGUGGAAUUCCAUGUGUAGCGGUGAAAUGCGUAGAUAUAUGGAGGAACA